GAUGAACGCUGGCGGCGUGCCUAAUACAUGCAAGUCGAGCGAACGGACGAGAAGCUUGCUUCUCUGAUGUUAGCGGCGGACGGGUGAGUAACACGUGGAUAACCUACCUAUAAGACUGGGAUAACUUCGGGAAACCGGAGCUAAUACCGGAUGAUAUUUUGAACCGCAUGGUUCAAAAGUGAAAGACGGUCUUGCUGUCACUUAUAGAUGGAUCCGCGCUGCAUUAGCUAGUUGGUAAGGUAACGGCUUACCAAGGCAACGAUGCAUAGCCGACCUGAGAGGGUGAUCGGCCACACUGGAACUGAGACACGGUCCAGACUCCUACGGGAGGCAGCAGUAGGGAAUCUUCCGCAAUGGGCGAAAGCCUGACGGAGCAACGCCGCGUGAGUGAUGAAGGUCUUCGGAUCGUAAAACUCUGUUAUUAGGGAAGAACAUAUGUGUAAGUAACUGUGCACAUCUUGACGGUACCUAACCAGAAAGCCACGGCUAACUACGUGCCAGCAGCCGCGGUAAUACGUAGGUGGCAAGCGUUAUCCGGAAUUAUUGGGCGUAAAGCGCGCGUAGGCGGUUUUUUAAGUCUGAUGUGAAAGCCCACGGCUCAACUGUGGAGGGUCAUUGGAAACUGGAAAACUUGAGUGCAGAAGAGGAAAGUGGAAUUCCACGUGUAGCGGUGAAAUGCGCAGAGAUAUGGAGGAACACCAGUGGCGAAGGCGACUUUCUGGUCUGUAACUGACGCUGAUGUGCGAAAGCGUGGGGAUCAAACAGGAUUAGAUACCCUGGUAGUCCACGCCGUAAACGAUGAGUGCUAAGUGUUAGGGGGUUUCCGCCCCUUAGUGCUGCAGCUAACGCAUUAAGCACUCCGCCUGGGGAGUACGACCGCAAGGUUGAAACUCAAAGGAAUUGACGGGGACCCGCACAAGCGGUGGAGCAUGUGGUUUAAUUCGAAGCAACGCGAAGAACCUUACCAAAUCUUGACAUCCUUUGACAACUCUAGAGAUAGAGCCUUCCCCUUCGGGGGACAAAGUGACAGGUGGUGCAUGGUUGUCGUCAGCUCGUGUCGUGAGAUGUUGGGUUAAGUCCCGCAACGAGCGCAACCCUUAAGCUUAGUUGCCAUCAUUAAGUUGGGCACUCUAAGUUGACUGCCGGUGACAAACCGGAGGAAGGUGGGGAUGACGUCAAAUCAUCAUGCCCCUUAUGAUUUGGGCUACACACGUGCUACAAUGGACAAUACAAAGGGCAGCGAAACCGCGAGGUCAAGCAAAUCCCAUAAAGUUGUUCUCAGUUCGGAUUGUAGUCUGCAACUCGACUACAUGAAGCUGGAAUCGCUAGUAAUCGUAGAUCAGCAUGCUACGGUGAAUACGUUCCCGGGUCU
rnacentral:rRNA from 1 species